rnacentral:misc_RNA from 1 species
UGGGGCUGGUACAGGGUUAGUUGGUAUUUUGCUUGCCCGUGUUGCUAAAACUGUCUUCAUAACAGACCAUGGAGACGAAGUACUUGAGAACUGUGAGAAAAAUGUGGAUCUUAAUGCUGAAAUAUUCCAUGGGAAGACGUCUGUUCAUGUACGUGAACUUGAUUGGAAAAAUUCAUGGCCUCCUCAAGAGGAGAAUACUUCACCAUCUAAAGGAAGGUACUGGUGGACCCAAUCAGAAAUUGAAG